GGCGUCGCGGAGGACGUGCU
rnacentral:misc_RNA from 4 species